AUCCUUCUGACGAGUUCCAAAUAGGACGAAAUGCGCGUCCUGGAU
rnacentral:hammerhead_ribozyme from 1 species